CGCUGGGAGUGGCCAUGGGGGGAAAAUCAAUUUAGUUUACACCUUUCAGUCUCACUGGAAAACCACUCGUCCAUGUAUAUGGAUAGCCACAACUUUGAAAAUUAUGCCACAGUGGUUUAAUCAUUUUAGUUAAUUGCGAACAAUUCUAGCAACGGAACAAGCAUGCAGUGAAGUACCAACAGUGGCAGAGCUUCAAAAGUCAAAAGAGAGACUCGAAGCAUCUCGUAUUACAGAAGAAGAUCGACCUUCAACACGAGUUGAUCCAGGCAAAUGACAAGCUACACUACAAACUACAGGAGGAAGACGAUCAGAAACGAAAACAGUUGAGAGAUGCUAUGAAUAAA
rnacentral:misc_RNA from 1 species